rnacentral:rRNA from 1 species
ACUGCUCAGUAACACGUGGACAACCUGCCCUUAGGUUGGGUAUAAACCCGGGAAACUGGGUAUAAUACCCGAUAGGUCUCGAUUGCUGGAAUGCAUCGAGAUUUAAAGCUCCGGCGCCUAAGGAUGGGUCUGCGGCCUAUCAGGUAGUAGUGGGUGUAGCGUACCUACUAGCCUACGACGGGUACGGGUUGUGAGAGCAAGAGCCCGGAGAUGGAUUCUGAGACACGAAUCCAGGCCCUACGGGGUGCAGCAGGCGCGAAAACUUUACAAUGCUGGCAACAGCGAUAAGGGAACCUCGAGUGCCAGGUUACAAAUCUGGCUGUCGAGAUGCCUAAAAAGCAUUUCAUAGCAAGGGCCGGGCAAGACCGGUGCCAACCGCCGCGGUAACACCGGCGGCUCGAGUGGUAACCGUUAUUAUUGGGUCUAAAGGGUCUGUAGCCGGCCGGAUAAGUCUCUUGAGAAAUCUGGCAGCUUAACUGUCAGGCUUUCAGGAGAUACUGUCUGGCUUGAGGCCGGGAGAGGUGAGAGGUACUUCAGGGGUAGGGGUGAAAUCUUGUAAUCCUUGAAGGACCACCAGUGGCGAAGGCGUCUCACCAGAACGGACCUGACGGCAAGGGACGAAAGCUAGGGGCACGAACCGGAUUAGAUACCCGGGUAGUCCUAGCCGUAAACGAUACUCGCUAGGUGUCGGCCACGGUGCGACCGUUGUCGGUGCCGUAGGGAAGCCGUGAAGCGAGCCACCUGGGAAGUACGGCCGCAAGGCUGAAACUUAAAGGAAUUGGCGGGGGAGCAC